rnacentral:rRNA from 1 species
GCCUCUCGAAGAACAAGAGGUAAGGCCUGCCCAGUGCUAAACAGCCGCAGUACUCUGACUGUGCAAAGGUAGCAUAAUCAAUUGCCUUUUAAUUGGUGGCUUGUAUGAACGGCUAAACUGAGCAGAUGGUCUUGUAUCUUGAAUUUAGGUUUACGGUAAAAACACCAUAAUAAAAUCCAGGGACGAGAAGACCCUAGGAGCUUGUGGAGGCUUUUGAUUGGGGCGAUCAAAGAAGAAACACAACUUUUCAUAAGCUACCCUAGGGAUAACAGCGUGAUAUAAAGUUUGAGUGCAUAUUGGACUUCAUGUUUACGACCUCGAUGUUGAGUUAAGAGGUGCAGGAGCUUUAGUCUGUUCGACUAGUAAAUCCUUACA